rnacentral:rRNA from 1 species
GACGCACGCUGGCGGCGUGCUUAACACAUGCAAGUCGAACGGAGGGGCGAACGGGUUAGUAACACGUUGGUGAUCUGCCUUUCACGUCGGGAUAAGCACGGGAAACUGGGUCUACUACCGGAUAGUGCAAGAUGAGCUCGCGGCCUAUCAGCGUGGUGGUUGGGUAAGGGACUACCAAGACGUCGACUGGUAGCCGGCCUGAGAUGGUGUAAGGACAAAUUGGUACGGAGAUACGGCACAGAGGCUGACGGGAGGCAGCAGUGGGGAAUAUUGCACAAUGGGCGGAAGCCUGAUGCAGCGAGGCCGCGUGGGGGAUGAAGGUCUUCGGGUUGUAAACUCCUUUCGAAAGGGACGCGGUACCUGUAUAAGAAGCACCGGCUAAGUACGUGCCAGCCGCCGCGGUAAUUC